ACACUGCUGAGGAGUCCCAUAAUAGAACGAAACGGCCGUUCAGUGC
rnacentral:hammerhead_ribozyme from 1 species